UACGGGGGGGGCAAGCGUUGUUCGGAAUUACUGGGCGUUAAAGGGCGUCGUAGGUGGCCAACUAAGUCAGACGUGAAAUCCCAUCGGCUUAACCGGGGAACUGCGUCUGAUACUGGAUGGCUUGAGUUCGGGAGAGGGAUGCGGAAUUCCAGGUGUAGCGGUGAAAUGCGUAGAUAAUCUGGAGGAACACCGGUGGCGAAGGCGGCAUCCUGGACCGACACUGACACUGAGGAGCGAAAGCCAGGGGAGCAAACGGG
rnacentral:rRNA from 1 species